ACCACAUUGAACAAAACACUAAAUGUUCACUUCAAAAGUACAGGUGCACAAAAAUGUGUGUUCUGCUGAAAAGCAAGUGGUUUAAAGCUGGUGCAGUGCUACAUUAUGAUCUAACAAAUAGCAUAACCCACAUUGCAACAGAAAAGUUAAUACUGGCCAAAUGCAAAAGAAAUAAACUUAACACAUUACAAUUGUCUCAAGUGUUCAAAAAAGAACAUUUCAUUAGUAUUGUUUAAUGGAUCAAAGCAGGGCUACUGCAAACAAGACCAAUUGGUGAGUGCACAUAUUUAAAAGUCGCUGACAGCACUUCAUGCAUAUAGGAGUGAUAUGUGGAGGUUGUUUGGCCUUGAUGUCUGUAAAGUAGUAGCUCCCCAAGAAUUUUAGUCUUGGGGAGUUUUUGGUUCAGUACUGAUAUCAGAAUUCCCAUAGACUUUGAAUGCACCACACCUGCACAGCAGUUAGUCACGGCUCCUCCCUGCUCAGAGCUAGCGUGCUUUUCUUUUAAGGCCUUGGUCUGCAUGGAGAGAGAAACAGGAGAUGUAAUCGGUUGAGCAGGAAGAUUUGCUGUAUUAUUGUGUUGAAGAAUAUCCUGGCUGUUUUUUUUUUUACAUAGUUGCAGAAUCUGCUGUUACAGCUGAGCAGUUCAUUGUAUGGACUGGACUAGACUCCACCAGAGAUGUUGAUGCAGGAUGUUCCCAAUUUGAAUGCCAUCCGGUUCCCUGGAGGGUGACGCUGUUCUUCUGGAGUUUCCGUAGACAAGUGUCUCUGAUGUGCGCACGGCCAUCAGACGAAAAUGUAACAAUGAGCAGUUCAGCCAAAAAAA